rnacentral:rRNA from 1 species
CCUACGGGUGGCAGCAGUGAGGAAUAUUGGUCAACGGGCGCGAGCCUGAACCAGCCAAGUCGCGUGAGGGAAGACGGUCCUAUGGAUUGUAAACCUCUUUUGUCGGGGAGCAAAAGACGCCACGCGUGGCGUUCCGAGAGUACCCGAAGAAAAAGCAUCGGCUAACUCCGUGCCAGCAGCCGCGGUACUACGGAGGAUGCGUGCGUUAUCCGGAUUUAUUGGGUUGAACGGGUGCGCAGGCGGAAGAUCAAGUCAGCGGGAAAAUUGAGAGGCUCAACCUCUUCGAGCCGUUGAAACUGGUUUUCUUGAGUGAGUGAGAAGUAUGCGGAAUGCGUGGUGUAGCGGUGAAAUGCAUAGAUAUCACGCAGAACUCCGAUUGCGAAGGCAGCAUACCGGCGCUCAACUGACGCUCAUGCACGAAAGUGUGGGUAUCGAACAGGAUUAGAUACCCCAGUAGUC